UGUCUAUUCUGCUAGCUCAGUAUUGCAGAGCAGACAUGGGACCUGUAAAGGAAGUUUAAAUUUGUUUUUUUCCCUCCAAUGACAAGGCCAGACUGCUAAAUUGUAGCAUUAAAACCAUAAGACUCCUCUGACGUGACUCUUUAAAUCCAUCGUUAUCCAUCUUUAGAACAGUGGCUUCAAUAAAGAUGACAUUUUAUCAGUCGUUUUCCAUUAAUCACCUAGAGUGCCAUUUUAAGACAAAUUUAUUUAUUGCAUAUAUUUGAUAUUAAAGUUAUCAAAUGCCCAAUAUCUCAAUACAUUCUGAAAAAUAAAACAUACCACAGAUCAAAAUGCAUGCAAAUGAGAAGUGGAACCUCCAAAGUGGAACAUAGCUACAUGGUAAUAGGUUAGUAUCUUCUGGAAUUGAAAUUGAAUUGUAAUGUCCAUUUUGCACCGAGCAGUUAAGAUGCCAUUUUGCGUCAGCUCAGGUGCCACUUCUUUCUCAACGAUUAUUAUAAUCUUUGCCCCCUUUGCUAUCAUGGGUAGUCUUCAUCAACAUUUAAAGCAAAAUCACAAACAAACAAAAAAGUGCACUUGUUUAUAGUUAAUCCAGAAAAUUCAACACAUUGCUACGUCACAGUAGAUUCCACUUCCUGCUCUAUGGUUACCAUCACUUUCACCACUC